UUCAACUACGGUGUAUAAUUACGAUACGC
rnacentral:sRNA from 1 species